CCUACGGGAGCAGCAGUGGGGAAUUUUCCGCAAUGGGCGAAAGCCUGACGGAGCAACGCCGCGUGAGGGAUGAAGGCCUCUGGGCUGUAAACCUCUUUUAUCAAGGAAGAAGAUCUGACGGUACUUGAUGAAUAAGCCACGGCUAAUUCCGUGCCAGCAGCCGCGGUAAUACGGGAGUGGCAAGCGUUAUCCGGAAUUAUUGGGCGUAAAGCGUCCGCAGGCGGUCUUGUAAGUCUGUCGUUAAAGCGUGGAGCUCAACUCCAUUUCGGCGGUGGAAACUACAAGACUAGAGUGUGGUAGGGGCAGAGGGAAUUCCCGGUGUAGCGGUGAAAUGCGUAGAUAUCGGGAAGAACACCAGUGGCGAAGGCGCUCUGCUGGGCCAUAACUGACGCUCAUGGACGAAAGCUAGGGGAGCGAAAGGGAUUAGAUACCCCUGUAGUCCUAGCCGUAAACGAUGAACACUAGGUGUCGGGGGUAAUCGACCCCCGUCGGUGUCGUAGCUAACGCGUUAAGUGUUCCGCCUGGGGAGUACGCACGCAAGUGUGAAACUCAAAGUAGUAUAGCGUGNGAGNGCGACGACGACGACGAGGAGGUAG
rnacentral:rRNA from 1 species